rnacentral:rRNA from 1 species
AGUGAACGCUGGCGGUAGGCCUAACACAUGCAAGUCGAACGGCAGCACAGGAGAGCUUGCUCUCUGGGUGGCGAGUGGCGGACGGGUGAGGAAUACAUCGGAAUCUACUUUUUCGUGGGGGAUAACGUAGGGAAACUUACGUUAAUACCGCAUACGAUCUACGGGUGAAAGCAGGGGAUCUUCGGACCUUGCGCGAUUGAAUGAGCCGAUGUCGGAUUAGCUAGUUGGCGGGGGAAAGGCCAACCAAGGCGACGAUCCGUAGCUGGUCUGAGAGGAUGAUCAGCCACACUGGAACUGAGACACGGUCCAGACUCCUACGGGAGGCAGCAGUGGGGAAUAUUGGACAAUGGGCGCAAGCCUGAUCCAGCCAUACCGCGUGGGUGAAGAAGGCCUUCGGGUUGUAAAGCCCUUUUGUUGGGAAAGAAAUCCAGCUGGUUAAUACCCGGUUGGGAUGACGGUACCCAAAGAAUAAGCACCGGCUAACUUCGUGCCAGCCGCCGCCGUAA